rnacentral:rRNA from 1 species
GAAAUAAAUUUAAUUUAGUCUCAUUAUUUAAUUUUUACAUUAUUAUAUAAGUUAUUAAUUGGGAUAAAAUUUAUAGGGGAUAAGCUCUAUAUUUUUCUAUAAAAUUUUAAUUAAUUAAUUUAUGUAGGGUUAGAAGUAUCCAUCAUUGGAAAGUAUGUUAUAAUUUAUAUUUGCUAUUAAUUAAUUUUAUUUUUUUUAGAAUAUUAUUAAAAUAUUAAAGUAAAUUUUUUACUUUAAUUAAUAAUGAUUAAAUUAGUAUAAAAUAUUGUUUAUUAUAUUAUAAAUAUUUAUGAUAAAAUAAGGAACUCGGCAAAUAUAGUUCUCGCCUGUUUACCAAAAACAUGGCCUUUUGAAUUUAAUAUAAGGUCUGACCUGCCCAGUGAUGAUUUUAACGGCCGCGGUAUACUUGACYGURCAAAGGUAGCAUAAUCAUUAGUCUUUUAAUAGAGGGCUGGAAUGAAAGGUUUCACGAGGAACUGACUGUCUCAUUUUAUUUGUUUUAAAAUUUAAUUUUUUAGUUAAAAAGCUAAAAUUUUAUUGGUAGACGAGAAGACCCUAUAGAGCUUUACAUGAACUUAAUUAAAUAUUUUUAUAUUAAUAUUUUUAUUUAUCUUUAUGUUUUGUUGGGGUGACAAAAAUAUAUAAUUAACUUUUUUAUUUACUUUACAUUGAUUUAUGAAUAUUAGAUCCAUUCUUAUUGAUUAUUAGACUAAGUUACCUUAGGGAUAACAGCGUAAUAU